UUCACACGACUAUUUACAAAACUGCACAUACAGUUUUGAUUAAGGAUUUGUUAAAAGAUCAUGGCAUUCUGGGGAGGAGCGCAAGGGCCAACAAGACGGCUACUUGAGUUGAUAGAUGCAACAACUUGGAGGACAGAGGUCCUUUUGCGACUGAAUACUCAUGCAUCCUUGUGUAUGGUGGUUCGACGAAGAGGACUAGACCAUGUUUUGGUGGAGGCUCACACCCAAUUUUUUAAGAGAAAUUUGUUUUUGACUUCAUUGAAGGAGUUGUAGAAUUGAACAUUUGGGACUUAACCAAUCGGUCCUUGGAAAACAAAGAAGCUCUCAGCUUCCUAAGGUAAGGCUCGACCUUAAUUCAGAGAUGAGCUAACCAUCAGUUGAUUUUCAAUUACCCCUAACCAUGAGUGUCACAAACUUUCCUCUUAACGUCCUUGGAGUUGAGCUACAACAAGUACUUUUCAAUGGCUAUGUUGACUCGACCUGGACUCUACACAGUACAGAUGGAAGGCCCGCAGGCUCUAUACGACUCACAUUGCAAUCUCCCCCAGUUCUAGGUUUCAAAGCCAAGGUUCAAUCUACGAAGCGCCAACAUUGGGUUCUACGGCUCCUGUAGGUACACCCCAAGCUCCGAUUUUGUACCAACUCCUACCGUAUGACGCCCGACCGCCGCCGAGGCCUGCAUCUUUUGUUGGCCCAAAUGCUUCCUAUCCUCCCAAUUCAGCUGUGGCACAACAACCAAAUGGCACAGGACCCGCCGCCCAAUGGUCCCAAUUCCUACCGUAUGGAUCUCCUUCACCGGCUGCCCCUGCUUGUGCCUAUAAUUCGACCACUACCCCACCUCUAGGCUACCCUCUGCCACAAUACCCACCAGGUUUGAACCCCUCUGAUAUUUACUCGCCUCCACCACGCUGACAACUCACCUCAAGAUGUCUGAAUUAUAUGCUUUUUGUUAAACACAAAGUUGAAGGAUGUUGUAGAUUAAAUUUGAGAGCUUUUCUAGUAUUUUUCCGCUACCGACUUUUUGUUCAUCCUAUGAAAAACAGUAUCCAUAUGGGAACUGUUCGAGUCUCUGCCCCACCAUCAAUUUUUUUCUGUAUUUUGGUUUGUUCAGAAUUCGAAUCAUAAAUAUAAUUCAUAAUAC